GUGCUCAUUAUAGCAGUACAUACACUAAACAAAGAUUAGCAUGGCCCUUGCACAAGGAUGACAUGAACAUUCACUUUUUUUUUUUUU
rnacentral:snRNA from 1 species